rnacentral:rRNA from 1 species
CCUACGGGAGGCAGCAGUGAGGAAUAUUGGUCAAUGGACGAGAGUCUGAACCAGCCAAGUAGCGUGAAGGAUGACUGCCCUAUGGGUUGUAAACUUCUUUUAUAAAGGAAUAAAACGAGGCACGUGUGCCUUUUUGCAUGUACUUUAUGAAUAAGGAUCGGCUAACUCCGUGCCAGCAGCCGCGGUAAUACGGAGGAUCCGAGCGUUAUCCGGAUUUAUUGGGUUUAAAGGGAGCGUAGAUGGGUUGUUAAGUCAGUUGUGAAAGUUUGCGGCUCAACCGUAAAAUUGCAAUUGAUACUGGCAGUCUUGAGUACAGUUGAGGUAGGCGGAAUUCGUGGUGUAGCGGUGAAAUGCUUAGAUAUCACGAAGAACCCCGAUUGCGAAGGCAGCUUACUAAACUGUGACUGACAUUGAUGCACGAAAGUGUGGGUAUCGAACAGGAUUAGAUACCCGUGUAGUC